rnacentral:rRNA from 1 species
AACGAACGCUGGCGGCAGGCCUAACACAUGCAAGUCGAAGGAGAAGUUCCUCUUCGGAGGGAUGGACACUGGCGCACGGGUGAGUAACGCGUGGGGAUCUACCCCGGGGUGGGGGACAACCGCUGGAAACGGCGGCUAAUACCGCAUACGCUUUAAGAGGGAAAGCUUUAGCGCCCUGGGAUGAACCCGCGUUAGAUUAGGUAGUUGGUGGGGUAAUGGCCUACCAAGCCGACGAUCUAUAGCUGGUCUGAGAGGGUGAUCAGCCACACUGGGACUGAGACACGGCCCAGACUCCUACGGGAGGCAGCAGUGGGGAAUAUUGGACAAUGGGGGCAACCCUGAUCCAGCCAUGCCGCGUGCGUGAAGAAGGCCUUAGGGUUGUAAAGCGCUUUCACUGGUGAAGAUGAUGACGGUAGCCAGAGAAGAAGCCCCGG